rnacentral:rRNA from 1 species
GAAUUCAACUCCUACGGGAGGCAGCAGUGAGGAAUAUUGGACAAUGGGUGAGAGCCUGAUCCAGCCAUCCCGCGUGAAGGACGACGGCCCUAUGGGUUGUAAACUUCUUUUGUAUAGGGAUAAACCUUUCCACGUGUGGAAAGCUGAAGGUACUAUACGAAUAAGCACCGGCUAACUCCGUGCCAGCAGCCGCGGUAAUACGGAGGGUGCAGGCGUUAUCCGGAUUUAUUGGGUUUAAAGGGUCCGUAGGCGGAUCUGUAAGUCAGUGGUGAAAUCUCAUAGCUUAACUAUGAAACUGCCAUUGAUACUGCAGGUCUUGAGUAAGGUAGAAGUGGCUGGAAUAAGUAGUGUAGCGGUGAAAUGCAUAGAUAUUACUUAGAACACCAAUUGCGAAGGCAGGUCACUAUGUCUUAACUGACGCUGAUGGACGAAAGCGUGGGGAGCGAACAGGAUUAGAUACCCUAGUAGUCCAGGCGUU